CCCUCUGCAGGGAAGAAGAACAAGGACUACAAGAUGGCGCCAAGCUCGGACGGGGGCUCUGGCAGCUCGGCCACAGUGAUUAACACCUGACCGCUCGAGGAGGGGCCGUUGCGUGGCUGGAUACAGCCCCCUGCCCUCUCACCGGCUGGACGCAGGGAGAGGACGUGGCUGUGGCGGUGGCUCUUCUGGCCGGUGAACUUGCUGUUUGCAGAGGCUUUGGGAAUAUUUAGUAUUUAAAUAUCUUAUGUUUAAUGUUCUUCAAUCUUUUUUUUAUCCCAUUUGCUCAUACUGAGUUGAUGAUAAUCAGGCACUGCCGUGACUAUCGAGGGGUUUUCAAUUUGAGGCUGUAACUGAUUUGGCUCCAUGUGUAGUUGUCCUGGUAAAUAAAAUAAAUGAUUGUCCCCACCCUCUGUGGG